rnacentral:rRNA from 1 species
CCUACGGGAGGCAGCAGUGAGGAAUAUUGGACAAUGGGCGCAAGCCUGAUCCAGCCAUGCCGCGUGCAGGAAGACGCAUCUAUGGUGUGUAAACUGCUUUUGUACGGGAAGAAACACUCCCUCGUGAGGGAGCUUGACGGUACCGUAAGAAUAAGGAUCGGCUAACUCCGUGCCAGCAGCCGCGGUAAUACGGAGGAUCCAAGCGUUAUCCGGAAUCAUUGGGUUUAAAGGGUCCGUAGGCGGUUUAAUAAGUCAGUGGUGAAAGCCCAUCGCUCAACGAUGGAACGGCCAUUGAUACUGUUAGACUUGAAUUACUAGGAAGUAACUAGAAUAUGUAGUGUAGCGGUGAAAUGCUUAGAUAUUACAUGGAAUACCAAUUGCGAAGGCAGGUUACUACUAGUGGAUUGACGCUGAUGGACGAAAGCGUGGGGAGCGAACAGGAUUAGAUACCCUGGUAGUCCACGCCGUAAACGAUGGAUACUAGCUGUUGGGCGCAAGUUCAGUGGCUAAGCGAAAGUGAUAAGUAUCCCACCUGGGGAGUACGUUCGCAAGAAUGAAACUCAAAUGAAAUUGACCGG